rnacentral:lncRNA from 1 species
ACUGGUCACGUGUGCAAAUAACUGCAUUGGAUCAGUUGAUAGACAUUUUCUGGAUCUCAGGUAAAACAACGUUUUGAACACUUAUAAUUACAUGCUUUAUAAGUACGUGAUUUGUUAUUAAAUCAAUUAUUAUAAGUUUUAAUGUUCAUAUUUAAUCGAAGUCAAUAAAAUCAUUAACUUUAAAGUUAACUUUCGUUUUCGCCUAGCAUAUACGGUUAAAAUAUCCAAACAUUAGGUAUGUAAAUAAAUAGCAGAAAUAAAUAACAAAAACAAAACCACAAACAUGUAGCAUUGACCAAAUAAUAUUCGUUCUCCUUGAUCUUAUUUAAGUUGAAAAUUCGAAAUUGUUAACAUCACCAAUAAUAUUUUGAGUACAGAUAAGUAUGUUGACAACUAUAAAUACUUUGUGUAAAUACUGACACAUCACUUUGUAUCUCCUACCGCUUUUUAGUAAAAAAAAGAAUUUCUUUCCUUCAAAUAAUAUGCAAGGUAAAGACUAAAAACAAGUUAAAGAUUAAAUGUUGCAACAGACCACCUAUAGUUCCUUAUAGAAAUUUCGAAAGGGUUCAAUAACAUAUGCCGAGAGCUUGACAGUUUCCUUGUACAUGUUAUACGCGUAAUCGGAUAUUGUGCUUUCAGUUGCCAGUGUAUUUAUAAACACUCUAGUAAUCACUUCAUAAUGGACUUUCAUCAUAAGCAAGGAUUCAUAACUUGAACUUAUGGGAUGAGCAUAUUUUAAUACCUAUUCGAUGGCUUUUUAUAUGAAAGCCAUGAUUUUUUUUUUAUAAUGAUUAGACCGUUGGUUUUCCCGUUUGAAUGGUUUUACACUAGUAAUUUUGGGGCCCUUUAUAGCUUGUUGUUUGGUGUGAGCCAAGGCUGUGUGUUGAAUGCCGUUUAUUGACUUAUAAUGGUAUACUUUUUUAAAUAGUUAUUUGGAUGGAGAGUUGUCUCAUUGGCACUCACACCACAUCUUCCUAUAUCUAUUUGAACACGAACACAUGCGAUGAGCAUAUUUCAAUACCUAACCGAAGGCUGUGUAUAUGUCUGCAAUGCUUUGAACACUAACACAUGCUUGGUGAGUUUCUAGCAUAUGCAAUUAAUUAUAAUGAAUUUUAAUUUUUCAUAACUGUUUAUUCUACUUUCGUUUUCGCUUCGCAUACCGUAUAGCGGGUUAUUUUCGCGGGUGUAAAAUUUCGCGAUUUUCAUUGAAUAAGGUAUACGAAAAAUUUUGGCGGUUAUUAUUUUGGCGGAUUUAUCAUUUUAAACAUUGCCUUUGCAUGUACACUUUUAAAUUGGCGGAAUUUAUUUUAGCGAUUUUGUUCUAUCCGCGAAAAUAAGCGAAAAUUUACACCCCGCGAAAAUAACCCGCUAUACGGUAUAAUGUUAAAAUAUUCAAACAUUGGAUAUGUGAAUAAAAAACACAGAUUAAUGAUAAAAAAACACGAAGUUUCACUUGGUUUUUAACAUGUUUAAAGAGCUGCAUAUAUUAUCAUUCACAAUUACAAAUACAUUGCUGAUUCAGAAUACUGAUUAUACAGUAUGUAUCACCUGUUGAUGCUUUACCAAAUUCGAAAUACUUUCAUACUUCAAAAAGUAUGCGCUCAGUAAAUACAGGGAAAAAAACAAGUAAUUAAUAAAUUACACACUUGAGAUCACUUGAGUAUCGUGUUGCUUGGUUGAUAUUUCAUGCUUUACCAUGUUAACAUGGAAGGGUAAAUAAAUACAAUAAAUAUGUACUUUUGCUAUCAAUGACAGGACAUUUGAAAGGCCACAUGAACAUGAUAGUUUGGUAGAGAGAUUGAAGUGACAGGUUUGGUCUUGUAACUGGCCAUCUAAAGUCCCUUCAGAGAGUUUUUGAAAGCGUUGAAUAAUGUGCCGAGAGCUUAAAAUUCGCUUGAACAGAGUCAUCGGAUUUAGUGCAGACCGGCAGUUGUCGGCCGAUUUAAAUUUGUAUUUAUAAACACUCUAGUAUAAACACUAAACAGCCAAGCUGACUUACCUUAUUAGCGAAUGACUUAUUACUUGAACGGGAGAGGCCAUGGAAUAAUCAUCUUACAUGCAUAGUCAAACCAUUUUUGUAUGCCUUUUGAUCUGGCUUCUAAGUGUACUUUUGUUGAUCGAAGACCCUUAAUCCUCAGUUUAAUUCCGUGGUAAUACGAACAAAGUUUUACUUGUUUCAUAAGUAACAAUAUUUGUUGCAUGACACUUGAAAUGGCACAGCUCUAUGCGAAAUAUCAAUGUUAUAUUUAUCUUGUCAAAUUAACUGUUGAUAUUUAUUUACCUGUAUUUUUAAAAUUACCGUGACAGUGAAGCAGAAACGUGUGUUCAAGAAAAAAAGGCGAUUUCAAAUGACAAUAAAAAAAAACGCAACAAUAUUUUUUAGUCGCAGUAUUACAUGCAAAUAUGCCACCUAACAGAAAAAAUUAUCAACUACAUGGGAAAAAAUAUGUGUGCACGCACAUUGUGUGCCAAGCAUAAUUAUGCUUACAUGACUUGCGACAGCAAGAUUUCAUAGAACCUUUAUUUACAUUUACCUAAUUAAGGUAACAACCGGUGAUAAAAAACAUAUCUAAGGAUUUGUCUUACAUAAGACAGAUUUUUGUUAAAAGCAAUUUUAUUCUUUUAAAAUGUCUUUUUUGUAGCAUGACGAGUAAAUAUACUGUGUGUGGAAUAUGUGAUUAUCAGAACAUUAACAAACCAUCAGUUGUCUGGUGUUCAGAAUGUGACGAAGGACUUUGUGAAGAAUGUAAAGUGCAUCAUGCAGCGUCAAAGGCGACCAGAAACCAUAGUAUCGUUCAAAUCUCGGAGUACCAGAGGCUUCCUUCCAAUAUAUUGGAAAUUACUCAAACAUGUUCAAAACAUGAUGAAAAAUUCCAAAUAUUCUGUAAGAAACAUGAUAUUCCAUGUUGUAGACGAUGCGUUGUUGAAACACAUAACGAUUGCAAAGAUUUAAACGCGAUAGAGGAUGUCAUAAAGAAUGUAAAAUCUUCAAGUGCAUUUUCAGAGAUGGAACAAGUGCUGAAAGAACUGUCAGAAAAUUUGCAGAAUAUAAGAAAAGAUAGACAAGAAAACAUUAAAAGUCUAAGGGAGAACAGAAUACAAAUAGAAAAGGAAGUUCAGCAGACACGAAGCCUGAUUAACAAUCACCUUGAUAGGCUACAGGAAUUUUUGAUAAAAGAGUUGUAUGACACUGAGAAAAAGGAAAGCACAAAAAUUAAAAACAUAAUAUCAUCCAUUCAAGAAAGUGAAAGAAAGAUUACCGAAUGCAAAAGUACUUUAUAUACAAUAAAACAACAUGCAUCAGACCUCCAGACGUUUCUUGCAAUGAAACACAUCCAGCAAGAUGUCAGAAACAACGAAAACUUUUUGGAAUCCUUGAUUAAAGAAAACAAAAUGAACAAUGUUUCCAUUACCUGGAAAAACGAAACUGCCUUGAAGAUCUUACCUGUCCAAACUAAAAAGAUGGGGACCAUAAUACUAAAUACCAGGGCAGGUGAUGCAACACUAACAAACAAAAAGAACAAACAAGCGCAGAUGAUGAUGCCUACUACACCUGUUUCUACCAUUGAUGAUAUAAAACUUACUUUAAGACAAACCGUGAACACAAUUGGACAGGAUAUCAAAAGUUGUUGCUUAUUACCUGGUGGCAGAAUGAUUUUUUCCUGCUAUAGAAGUAACAAAAUUCACGUGCUCAAAUCAAGCGGGACUUCAGAUUUUACACUUGAGACAGGAUCCACAACAUCUCAUAUCCACUUUAUCGAAAAAAGUCAAAAACUUGUCGUAACAACUGGGGAAAACAACCAACGCAUUGAGAUAAUCGACAUGAAAAGUAGAAAAUCUGAGAAAUCUAUUGGAGUUGGAACAAGGAUUUUUGGGAUAGUUAACAAAGAAGGGAAAUUAUUUUAUAAUGGAGAUAGAACUGGAUUAUGUUUUGUAAAUUUAAAUGACGACUCUUUAACACAGUUAGUUGACGGUGCAUUGUCUACAUAUAGCAGCAUUGCAACAUGGUCAGAUCAACUAUAUUUUAUAGGCGAAGAUGGUUCAGUAACAUGCAGUGAUCUACAAGGAGGAAUUAAAUGGAAAUUUAAGUUGAAAACAUUUACAGUUCCACGAGGUAUAACAGUGGACAAUUACGGGCGUGUUUACGUAUCAGGCUAUUGGACGAGUAAUGUCAUUGUAAUUUCACCAGAUGGAAGCAAACAUAGAGUGUUGCUGUCACAACAAAAUGGUAUUAAUAAACCACAGUCUUUGUUCUUCGAUCGAAUAAAUAACAAGUUACUUGUUGCGAAUACAUGCAAUUACGCAUUUCUUUAUGACAUUUCAAAUUGAAUAGAUACACUAUCCCUGGGAUGAUCUUAGCU